GCGGCCCCCGCGGUACGGGAGAAUGGUUGGGUCCAGGCACUUGAACCUGCUGAGGCAGGCGGGGAAACCUUGUAUCAUCGGGCGUUGGUGGUAUAGUGGUUAGCAUAGCUGCCUUCCAAGCAGUUGACCCGGGUUCGAUUCCCGGCCAACGCAGCGUUUUCUUUUCUUUGUUUCAAUUUUCCCCCCCCGCGAUUCCAAAGCUGAUUCUGAAAGGGGCUGUAAGCGGAGCGCCCUGCCCGGCUGCGUGCUGCCCUCCCCAACCCCGGCGGUCGCCGGCCUAGACGCAGCGGGAUGCGGGCGCUGCGGCACGUGGUGCCGUUACUUCUCUCACAAGCAGUCGACGGGGAAGCGGCGGAGAAAUAAAUAUAAACCGAAGGGGAAAAAGUAGACACCGGAAAAAAAAAAAACUUAGGUGUUUCCGCCCGGGAUCGAACCGGGGACCUUUCGCGUGUGAGGCGAACGUGAUAACCGCUACACUACGGAAACCCGCCCUGCUUCGACUUUUCGAGCGGCGCCCCAUGUUGCUGCGGCGGCUGAGAGGAUGGCUCCAUCUCUCGGUGAGCCCCUUCCUCGCCUCACGGCAACCUCGAACAAAACCUACCCCAAACGCUGAGAAACGCCGCGCGGCAUUCCAGACCUCAUGCAGUCUGAUGAUUGGUGCAGAAAGGAGAGCUGCAGACCAGACAGCCCCAGGAAGGAAGCUCUUGGAAGGCCCCCGUCCACACUGCAGUCAAGACUGGAGGUACACAGAUGUCAAAAGCAGUUUACCUGUCGUAGCACAGAAAUCGGCGUUACCUGAUUUGUUCUGCUGCGUUACUCCGCUCACUUACGCCUCUGGUGCCUCUCCCUGCACAUGGCGCAAUAGGGAGACAGAAGAGGCAAGACUCCAGCCCUAACAGAAAACUUACAGAUGCGGUCCCU